rnacentral:rRNA from 1 species
AUACGGAGGGUGCAAGCGUUGUUUGGAAUUACUGGGCGUAAAGCGCGCGUAGGCGGUCUGUUAUGUCAGAUGUGAAAGUCCUCGGCUCAACCGGGGAAGUGCAUUUGAAACUGGCAGACUUGAGUACUGGAGGGGGUGGUGGAAUUCCCGGUGUAGAGGUGAAAUUCGUAGAUAUCGGGAGGAAUACCGGUGGCGAAGGCGACCACCUGGCCAGAUACUGACGCUGAGGUGCGAAAGCGUGGGGAGCAAACCGGAUUAGAAACCCUAGUAGUCC